UUCUCAUUGGCCUCAUGUCCUGUC
rnacentral:miRNA from 1 species